UACGAAGGGGGCUAGCGUUGCUCGGAAUCACUGGGCGUAAAGCGCACGUAGGCGGAUUGUUAAGUCAGGGGGUGAAAUCCUGGAGCUCAACUCCAGAACUGCCUUUGAUACUGGCGAUCUUGAGUCCGGGAGAGGUGAGUGGAACUGCGAGUGUAGAGGUGAAAUUCGUAGAUAUUCGCAAGAACACCAGUGGCGAAGGCGGACUCACU
rnacentral:rRNA from 1 species